rnacentral:rRNA from 1 species
GGGUUGUGAGGUUAAGCGACUAAGCGUACACGGUGGAUGCCCUGGCAGUCAGAGGCGAUGAAGGACGUGCUAAUCUGCGAUAAGCGUCGGUAAGGUGAUAUGAACCGUUAUAACCGGCGAUUUCCGAAUGGGGAAACCCAGUGUGUUUCGACACACUAUCAUUAACUGAAUCCAUAGGUUAAUGAGGCGAACCGGGGGAACUGAAACAUCUAAGUACCCCGAGGAAAAGAAAUCAACCGAGAUUCCCCCAGUAGCGGCGAGCGAACGGGGAGCAGCCCAGAGCCUGAAUCAGUGUGUGUGUUAGUGGAAGCGUCUGGAAAGGCGCGCGAUACAGGGUGACAGCCCCGUACACAAAAAUGCACAUGCUGUGAGCUCGAUGAGUAGGGCGGGACACGUGGUAUCCUGUCUGAAUAUGGGGGGACCAUCCUCCAAGGCUAAAUACUCCUGACUGACCGAUAGUGAACCAGUACCGUGAGGGAAAGGCGAAAAGAACCCCGGCGAGGGGAGUGAAAAAGAACCUGAAACCGUGUACGUACAAGCAGUGGGAGCACGCUUAGGCGUGUGACUGCGUACCUUUUGUAUAAUGGGUCAGCGACUUAUAUUCUGUAGCAAGGUUAACCGAAUAGGGGAGCCGAAGGGAAACCGAGUCUUAACUGGGCGUUAAGUUGCAGGGUAUAGACCCGAAACCCGGUGAUCUAGCCAUGGGCAGGUUGAAGGUUGGGUAACACUAACUGGAGGACCGAACCGACUAAUGUUGAAAAAUUAGCGGAUGACUUGUGGCUGGGGGUGAAAGGCCAAUCAAACCGGGAGAUAGCUGGUUCUCCCCGAAAGCUAUUUAGGUAGCGCCUCGUGAAUUCAUCUCCGGGGGUAGAGCACUGUUUCGGCAAGGGGGUCAUCCCGACUUACCAACCCGAUGCAAACUGCGAAUACCGGAGAAUGUUAUCACGGGAGACACACGGCGGGUGCUAACGUCCGUCGUGAAGAGGGAAACAACCCAGACCGCCAGCUAAGGUCCCAAAGUCAUGGUUAAGUGGGAAACGAUGUGGGAAGGCCCAGACAGCCAGGAUGUUGGCUUAGAAGCAGCCAUCAUUUAAAGAAAGCGUAAUAGCUCACUGGUCGAGUCGGCCUGCGCGGAAGAUGUAACGGGGCUAAACCAUGCACCGAAGCUGCGGCAGCGACGCUUAUGCGUUGUUGGGUAGGGGAGCGUUCUGUAAGCCUGCGAAGGUGUGCUGUGAGGCAUGCUGGAGGUAUCAGAAGUGCGAAUGCUGACAUAAGUAACGAUAAAGCGGGUGAAAAGCCCGCUCGCCGGAAGACCAAGGGUUCCUGUCCAACGUUAAUCGGGGCAGGGUGAGUCGACCCCUAAGGCGAGGCCGAAAGGCGUAGUCGAUGGGAAACAGGUUAAUAUUCCUGUACUUGGUGUUACUGCGAAGGGGGGACGGAGAAGGCUAUGUUGGCCGGGCGACGGUUGUCCCGGUUUAAGCGUGUAGGCUGGUUUUCCAGGCAAAUCCGGAAAACUAAGGCUGAGGCGUGAUGACGAGGCACUACGGUGCUGAAGCAACAAAUGCCCUGCUUCCAGGAAAAGCCUCUAAGCAUCAGGUAACAUCAAAUCGUACCCCAAACCGACACAGGUGGUCAGGUAGAGAAUACCAAGGCGCUUGAGAGAACUCGGGUGAAGGAACUAGGCAAAAUGGUGCCGUAACUUCGGGAGAAGGCACGCUGAUAUGUAGGUGAAGUCCCUCGCGGAUGGAGCUGAAAUCAGUCGAAGAUACCAGCUGGCUGCAACUGUUUAUUAAAAACACAGCACUGUGCAAACACGAAAGUGGACGUAUACGGUGUGACGCCUGCCCGGUGCCGGAAGGUUAAUUGAUGGGGUCAGCGCAAGCGAAGCUCUUGAUCGAAGCCCCGGUAAACGGCGGCCGUAACUAUAACGGUCCUAAGGUAGCGAAAUUCCUUGUCGGGUAAGUUCCGACCUGCACGAAUGGCGUAAUGAUGGCCAGGCUGUCUCCACCCGAGACUCAGUGAAAUUGAACUCGCUGUGAAGAUGCAGUGUACCCGCGGCAAGACGGAAAGACCCCGUGAACCUUUACUAUAGCUUGACACUGAACAUUGAGCCUUGAUGUGUAGGAUAGGUGGGAGGCUUUGAAGUGUGGACGCCAGUCUGCAUGGAGCCGACCUUGAAAUACCACCCUUUAAUGUUUGAUGUUCUAACGUUGACCCGUGAUCCGGGUUGCGGACAGUGUCUGGUGGGUAGUUUGACUGGGGCGGUCUCCUCCUAAAGAGUAACGGAGGAGCACGAAGGUUGGCUAAUCCUGGUCGGACAUCAGGAGGUUAGUGCAAUGGCAUAAGCCAGCUUGACUGCGAGCGUGACGGCGCGAGCAGGUGCGAAAGCAGGUCAUAGUGAUCCGGUGGUUCUGAAUGGAAGGGCCAUCGCUCAACGGAUAAAAGGUACUCCGGGGAUAACAGGCUGAUACCGCCCAAGAGUUCAUAUCGACGGCGGUGUUUGGCACCUCGAUGUCGGCUCAUCACAUCCUGGGGCUGAAGUAGGUCCCAAGGGUAUGGCUGUUCGCCAUUUAAAGUGGUACGCGAGCUGGGUUUAGAACGUCGUGAGACAGUUCGGUCCCUAUCUGCCGUGGGCGCUGGAGAACUGAGGGGGGCUGCUCCUAGUACGAGAGGACCGGAGUGGACGCAUCACUGGUGUUCGGGUUGUCAUGCCAAUGGCACUGCCCGGUAGCUAAAUGCGGAAGAGAUAAGUGCUGAAAGCAUCUAAGCACGAAACUUGCCCCGAGAUGAGUUCUCCCUGACUCCUUGAGAGUCCUGAAGGAACGUUGAAGACGACGACGUUGAUAGGCCGGGUGUGUAAGCGCAGCGAUGCGUUGAGCUAACCGGUACUAAUGAACCGUGAGGCUUAACCUUACAACGCCGAAGCUGUU